rnacentral:rRNA from 1 species
AGCAGCCGCCGCGGGAAUACGAAGGGGGCUAGCGUUGCUCGGAAUGACUGGGCGUAAAGGGCGCGUAGGCGGUUUUGACAGUCAGAUGUGAAAUUCCUGGGCUUAACCUGGGGGCUGCAUUUGAGACGUCAAGACUAGAGUGUGAGAGAGGGUUGUGGAAUUCCCAGUGUAGAGGUGAAAUUCGUAGAUAUUGGGAAGAACACCGGUGGCGAAGGCGGCAACCUGGCUCAUUACUGACGCUGAGGCGCGAAAGCGUGGGGAGCAAACAGGAUUAGAUACCCCCGUAGUCCAUGUCUCUUAUAU